AAUGUCGCAUGUGAACAGCAAGUCCCAACAGUCAGAGUUAGGACAACAUAGCCUGCAUGGGAGACUGUUGAGCACUCCAAGGAUGACAAGGAAACGAUACUGAUUCUGAGGAUGACAUCACAAAGGAAAAUGUAAAUUCGCAGAAGUAGACACAACAGUCGUCAGGGAAACUCAACAAUGUGUCCUCGCAGACAGGACCCAGACUCAGCCGUCUGCAGAGAUUGCUGAUUAUUUCAAACAACGAUCAUCACCAUAGUUCUGAGUUUGCCUUGACAACGGAUGACAAGGAGAGCAAAAACCUCCUGAAGUCACCACUAAUUCAGAACAAGGAUCCUGAUAAUAACGUCGUGCUUGACCAACCACAUCUGGCAUUACAGUCAAGUCAGUUGUCCAUGUCAGUUGAAACACAUGGCGGAAGCAAAGAACCAACCCAACAUUUAAGGUUGAACCACACCUUACAACAUCUCAACAGGAUCUGUGAGAGGUAAACCCUCCCUACAGCGCCGUAUCCAUGACGAGGAAGUCCUCCAAUUGCCCCAGUUCGUACUCCCCUUCACGUAAGGGUCAGGUUCAACAGCAUUAAAGCCCUCCUUAAAGUGCUGCAUCCAUAGUGAUGAAGUCCUCCAACUCGCCCCAGUACUCCCCUUGC